GCGGACAUGAUGAAAAUGGCAGACAUGCUAGACUUAGAAUCUAGUGAGAAUAAACCUCAUGAGGGUUCAAGUCCCUCUGUCCGUA
rnacentral:tRNA from 1 species